CCUGGCCGUUAGUUCUCCUGCUGACAGGAAUCUAGCGUCGUCGUUGAGUUGCGCCAUCGCGUCUUUUCAAAGGCCUCGCCUUGAUAGUCGUAUGUGACGUACUUCAACCUCUGUUGAUGUAAGCUUAAGUUCCACGUAUACCUGUGCACUAGCGUCGUGUGCCAUGUAGAAGGUGAUGUACCCCGACAUCCGUGGACGUAAAAAUUGAGUUCCAUGUAUUCCCGUGCGCUAUCGUUUUGUUAUGCGUAGGCUGCCUGCUCGGGGAGUUAAAAUAUCAUAAACAAUGUGGAUAAUAGUGUGUACCCGAGUUAAUAUUCGCGAUUCCUACGGGGGAUGUGGAGACAUACGUCUUUUCCUUGGAGUGAUUCGUGUCGUUGCAGGAUCGCGUGACAAGUUGUCGUUUCCUGGCCGUUAGUUCUCCUGCUGACAGGAAUCUAGCGUCGUCGUUG
rnacentral:lncRNA from 1 species